rnacentral:rRNA from 1 species
UACAGAGGUCCCAAGCGUUGUUCGGAUUCAUUGGGCGUAAAGGGUGCGUAGGCGGCGCGGUAAGUCGGGUGUGAAAUCUCGGGGCUUAACUCCGAAACUGCAUUCGAUACUGCCGUGCUUGAGGACUGGAGAGGAGACUGGAAUUUACGGUGUAGCGGUGAAAUGCGUAGAUAUCGUAAGGAAGACCAGUGGCGAAGGCGGGUCUCUGGAUAGUUCCUGACGCUGAGGCACGAAGGCUAGGGGAGCAAACGGG